rnacentral:lncRNA from 1 species
UAGAAGUCAUCACAGUAUGACUGCAUGGGACUCAUUUCCCUGUUAUAGCAAAGUCCCCAGGCCAACGGUCCUCCAGUGGCCACACCGUAACCACCUAGGGUAAUCACAAUCGGAUAUGCACAUAUGAGAUUCAACAACAGCUUACACUUGUUUACACAGUCUACAGUAUUACACUUUAAUCAAGUCAUACCAUUUGCUACGCAUAACAUAUCGAAUUUGUUGUCAUAUAUAACUAGUUUUUCCACUCACAGCCGACAAAACAUAACAAGUUCAUGAAGUCAGGUAUGUUAAUCUUGUAUCUAAGCAACCACUGUCCUACUCCUUAGCUUGUUAUUGUCCUAAAUCAAAAUCAUCAUUUUCCUAAAUUCUUUUAAAAUCAAUCAAAUAUGACCUUAAACCUAAUCUUUUUCACAGACGACACAUGAACAACAACAAAAACAUAAGCAUCUUUCUGCAACUAUGUCGCAAGUAAACCACAUUCACUUCAAAGAUAACAAAUUGGAUCAAAUAAAACCUGGGCAACUGAAUGUGACUUACAAGAGGUCUUGCUGCCGACAUGUCCGAGGAAAGCUGCGAGCUCCUUCAUCUGCAUAAGCUUCCCGCCGGUGGUGCAAAACCCCUGAGGCUGAAAAAGCGAUGCGGCGAGAAUAAAGGACUUGUAGUCCCAGAACCCAACGGCGUGAGCCACGGGCGCGUUCCGGUUGGAGAAAAGCUCCUCGAACUGGUAAGUCUGGAAGAAAUCAGUGAUGGUGAGAUUGCAACAGUACUGAGAC